GAAAUCCUGUUCCCUCUGUUUCAGACUCAGCGGAGAAUGAGAGUGCACCUGAUACUAAAGAUUCUGCACAAAGAACAAGUCACUCAGAGGCUCAAGAUUCAAAAGAAAGCAGUGAAAGGAAAACCAAAGUGAUCGCUUCAGGACGAGAUGACGAUUCCAAAGAAAGCGGUGAAAGGAAAAUCAAAAUGAUCGCUUCAGGACGAGAUGAUGGUUUGUAGAUCUCUGUGUGUGGGGCAUUAUUGACUGGGCUAAUAUAUGGGAGCUGGGUCCAUGAGGAUUAACAAGUUCUUUAUUGAAAUAAUUCUGCAUG